AACUUUUAGCAAUGGAUCACUAGGUUCUGGCAUCGAUGAAGCACGCAGCGAAAUGCGAUAAGUAAUGCGAAUUGCAGAAUUCAGUGAGUCAUCGAAUCUUUGAACGCACAUUGCGCCCUUUAGUAUUCUGAAGGGCAUGCCUGUUCGAGCGUCAUUAUCACUAAUCAAGCCUGGCUUGCUGUUGGACCUCUUGUCGAUCAACCGACAGGCCCCAAAGAUAAUGACGGUGUUAUUAGGACCCUAGAUGCAACGAGCUUUUAUUAGCACGCGUUUAGUUGAACCUUUUAACCCGAUCUUUUUUAACCAAUUUCUAAGGUUGACCUCGGAUCAGGUAGGAAUACCCGCUGAACUUAAGCAUAUCAAUAAGCGGAGGCU
rnacentral:misc_RNA from 1 species